UACGUAGGGUGCGAGCGUUGUCCGGAAUUAUUGGGCGUAAAGAGCUCGUAGGCGGUUUGUCGCGUCUGCCGUGAAAGUCCGGGGCUCAACUCCGGAUCUGCAGUGGGUACGGGCAGACUAGAGUGCGGUAGGGGAGACUGGAAUUCCUGGUGUAGCGGUGAAAUGCGCAGAUAUCAGGAGGAACACCGGUGGCGAAGGCGGGGUCUCUGGGCCGUAACUGACGCUGAGGAGCGAAAGUGUGGGGAGCGAACAGG
rnacentral:rRNA from 1 species